CCAAUUUGACGGCAGCAGCGCUUGCUUUCUAAAGAAAGCUUAGCUCUCACUUUUCAGUCUGUCUCAUUACCGCUCUCAUUGUUUCUUUCGACAGCGAGAAACGGAGCAGUUCACUUGGAGUCUAUUUGGAAUAAGAAAGCAUUGCUGUUUUCUGACUGGAGAGAAGAAAGAUAAGACUCCUCUGGAUUUCCUAAGGAAUUUUAUCGGAACGCCUUGUUACCGUGGCUUUUGAAUUCAUCAGCUGGGGUAUAUAAUACACACACCCUUCCAUCUCUAUCUUAUGAGGGCUGACAUGAGACAGAUUUGAUGAGGAAAAGACAGGCUUCCCAUUUAAACUACAGAACCACAGACAGGGUACAGAUUCACUUACAGUACACUUUUCCCUCUUUAUUUCCAUGAAGAAGC
ensembl:lncRNA